CAACUCUGAUCUCCAGCAGGAUUAAAGUUGCUCCCCUCUCUAUUGAUUUACCUUGAUGCUAAUUUAGGCCUGUGGCCAGUCAGAGGCCUGCCAUAGGCCUUAAGAGAUGCCUGGCCGGGCGCGUUGGCUCACGCCUGUAAUUCCAGCACUUUGGGAGGCCAAGGUGGGCGGAUCACGAGGUCAAGAAAUCGAGACCAGACUGGCCAGCAUGGUGAAACCCUGUCUCUACUAAAUAUACAAAAAUUAGCUGGGUGUGGUGGUGCAUGCCUGUAGUCCCAGCAACUCGGGAGGCUGAGGCAGGGGAACUGCUUGAACCCAGGAGGUGGAGGUUGCGGUGAGCCAAGAUUGCACCACUGCACUCCAGCCUGGUGACAGAGGGAGAUUCCUCUCAAAAAAAAAAGAGAUGCCUGUGUCUGUGCUGGCGCCCUUCACCUGGCCCCCACUCCUCAAAUCUGGAGAGUCCAAUUGCCUGCUCGAAUGAUUUCCAAGUGGCUAUUAUGUUUCCAGCCCAAGGUAAUUGGCUUUACCAGUUAUUAAUGGAUUACCCUAAAUAGAAAAAUGUUGGGGGAGGGAGGAGAGGGCAACACCUCCUGACUUUGUAGUUUGGUUCUUCAGUAUCCACUGGCUGCUUCCCAGGCUGGCAGUCACUUGGGGCAUGGCACAGUGACUGUUUUGGCACUCCCACUCUAUAGUUUAGUGGCUGCUGGCAGCCUUGAAGAAGCUAGGAUGAUGGGGCAUGUCCCUGGAGGAAGUCUUGGCUUGAGUCAUGAAAGCCCCAGGAUAGCUCGUAUGGCCUUUUUAUCAGCCUAGGGCUGAAGAGCAGACACCUGCCCUGCAAUUUUUAUUGUAAAUCAGUGGUUUGGCCAGUGCCUGCCCUAACAUCUCCCCCAUCAGCAACUGGCAGGCCAACCUCCCCACCCCAGCCAAAGCCACUGGCUUCUCCAGGGCCCUCUCUGUGGAAAUGCAUCUCCUCACUGACAUGCUUGGGAUCAGAGGAGCCACAGGUGCUGGGCUGGGCCACAGCAGAUGGGCUGUUGCCCCCACAUUGCUAAUGUGUUAUUAGUAUGUCCAGUCUUCCUUCCCCCCCAUGAAAGACAUGUAGGGACAUGGCCCAUUCCUAACACCACUGCUUUCAACUUGCUUGCUUGCUGUUUAAGUUUCAAGCCCAGGUUUCCUGAAGGCUUCCCCUCUCCACCCUACCAAAUCCUCUAACAAGAGUUGUCUGGCUCAUAGGUUCAAGUUCUAGGCCAGCACUACAGCCAGCCUGGCCCACUGCGUGGAUCCUUUAUACCAGGCUUGUGCCUCCAUUUAAAGUGAGACUCUGCAGAUUGUAUAUGUUGAGGUUUUUAGGGCUCUAAAGGGACACUCUGGGCAACAGGGUCAGCCUGCUCCUUCUUGUGUGCCUCUCGGCGUUGUUUGUUAUUGGCCUCAGAGGACUCUGGCGGACUCCCAUCCCACUCUCCAGAAGCCCUGGCUGCCUGGCUUCUGGGGACUCCGCCCCACCUAUGUAGUGGCAUAUACCCAUCCAAGGGAUUCACUCAUCUUUCAUAUUUUUUCCUUUUCUCAUUUUGGUGCCUUUAUACCUGCCCUGUGCUUAUACCACAUUACCAGAUUCCCCCAGCUCUUAAAACCUUCAGGAAUGCCCCUCAGCUGCUCCUACUUCUGACCACGGGCAGCACCUUCCAGCCCCAGCAACCUGUUCCCUGGAGCCCUUUUCUGUGCCCUGCCAUUGUGCUCUUGGGAUUCCUAAACAGGAGCCCGACAGGCUCGCUCUCUCCUGGGCUCAAACUUGUCACGUCUAGAGAUCUGUUUUUGUGGUGCGCAGAGACCACUCAACCUAGUCUGUGCAGCAGGCCCAGCUGUGGCUGAGCUCGUGGGUCUUCUGGCCAGGCACCACUGGGGGCUACACCCCUCACAGUGCUCCAAGAUGUCUUCCCACAGCUCCUCUGAUGGCUCCCUUGGCCACUUCUCUCAUUCUGGCUUAACCCACAAUCCCCUAGGGAAUGAGCACGGCAUUUCCCAUUGUUAGCCAUUUCCACCACAGGUUCUGACAAGCCAGAUCUGACUUUGUUCUCCUUUUGUUUGGCAGCUCUUUUGUGACAGGGACGGCUUGUUGCGGGCACUUCUCACCCCUGAGAAUCUGGGACCUCAACAGUGGGCAGCUGAUGACACACUUGGGCAGUGACUUUCCCCCAGGGGCUGGGGUGCUGGAUGUCAUGUAUGAAUCCCCUUUCACACUGCUGUCCUGUGGCUAUGACACCUAUGUUCGCUACUGGGACCUCCGCACCAGUGUCCGGAAAUGUGUCAUGGAGUGGGAGGAGCCCCACGACAGCACCCUGUACUGCCUGCAGACAGAUGGCAACCACCUUCUGGCCACAGGUUCCUCCUACUACGGUGUUGUACGGCUGUGGGACCGGCGUCAAAGGGCCUGCCUGCACGCCUUCCCGCUGACGUCGACUCCCCUCAGCAGCCCUGUGUACUGCCUGCGUCUCACCACCAAGCAUCUCUAUGCUGCACUGUCUUACAACCUCCACGUCCUGGAUUUUCAAAACCCAUGACCGUCAGGGCCACCCCUGCCUCUGGGCCAGGGAAACCAGCUACUCAGGGACUUCUCUUGCCUGGAGGGUACAGUGAUAGCUCCUCCUCACUGCCCCACUGUGCUCCUGGGCCUGUGACCCCAGUGCUCAGGCACCUUGCACUAGAGGCUUCUGACUCCUGGGACUUUGGAGCUUACCAGAGAUGCAGUCCCUCCCAGGAACCUGUUGGAGAGGCAGGACCUGCUGCUUUAGAGUGUGGCUGAACCCGGGCCUUGCGUCCCUGUUUGGCCAGAGCAAGGAUCUGGCCUGGAGAGGCCCAUCCUAUACCCCUUAUUAGAGCCAUGACAGCCUACAGAGUGAGGUGAGGUGCUCCCACCUUCCCAGAUGGUUCCUUUCUGCCCCUUCCUGGAAGGAAAGGUGAGGCUGCCAAUAGCCUCCUGGCACCAGCCAGACCUCACCCUUGACCAACCUCUCGGGGCUGGGGGUUCAUUCCUGGGGCACUGUGGCCUGGUUUUGCUUUGAAACCAAGAAAGAGCAAAGGGAACCCAGCAGUUCUGAGUGAGUUCUGAGCCAGCCCUACCUCAGGCUGGCUGUUGAGACAUGCUACAAUUUUCAUUUUUGUAAAAAUAAAGCUUGAUUGUUCACAGA
rnacentral:sRNA from 1 species